CCCCUGCUAACAGGCACCCAGGACAGCCCAGCAGUGUGGAUUUGCUCCCCAGGGAACGGGAGUUCCCGUGGACAGACCCCAUGGCAGGGGGCUGGUGCUGCUCCCCUGCAGCCCCUGCACUCCAGCGGGGCUGGAACCACAAUCCAUGGGCUGAAGUUUUUAAGGUCACGUCACCUCCGAUUUCUCGAUAAAGGCUGAGCAGUGCUUGCCUGUGAGUAAAUGCAGCCAGCCCUCAGAGGCGUUGUUGCAUGUCAACUGGAGGAAGUGAUUAAAAAUUAAUGCAGGCGAGGAGAUAGAGAAACCUGAAAGGGUGUGCCCGUAAAAUACACUUUCAAUCUGUCUCGUCAGCAAAAGAGGAAAGAAAUCAGAUUCUUAUAAUACCAGACUCUAGGGAAGUGGUUGGGGCAUGAACUCCGUGUUCUCUUGCAGGCUCCCCCCAGCAGUCGGGAACAAGGAACCCCACGUUACCACAGAGCUGCUUCCUCCUGCCUGCCCGGGGGGUGGGUGCUGAAGGAGGGGAGGAUGUGUGGGGGCACUGCUGGGAUGUGCUAUCCCACCCCUCUCCAGCAGAUGGGACGGAGCUGCCCUCGUGCCACCCGCCCCUGCCUGCUUUGGACAGGUUAACAGAGACAAGGAUUUCGAGGCCAUCACUCAGCAGCAACCCAGAAUGGAAACCAACUGUGCAGGCCAGGCCCACACCCCGUAUGUUCUGACUUCAGGAGGGAACCACAACAAUCCCAAAAAGGAGAGCACACUGAGAUGCAAACUAAGUAACAGAUCUCUCCUGAUAAAAUAUUGGACUUGGAGUCACGUCCAAGUCAGAUUUUUACCACUUUGAAACAUUUCUGAAUGAAGGCACAGCUGCAAUGGA